rnacentral:sRNA from 1 species
UUUCGCGCUGGCGUAGCGGGCGUGGUAGUCGCCGAACUCGGCAAGCACCCGGGCGCCGAGAACAGCACCGAGUCCCGGCUGG